CAGAGCAGAACUACUACAAGAGCAGCAUGGAGGAGAACCAGAACCCGGACUCACCCUCUGCUACCACCGAUAAACAGAGCUGAGAUUCCUGCCUUCCUGUUGGCCAAAUACAUUGCGGCCGAGCUCGGACUCGUACCGUGUCCCAGGUGGAACCGCAGACCGAAAGCAUCGAGGACAGACGCUGCUCAGUCCUGCAGCAGCAACCAGCAGCCUCUCAACAGGAAACUCUGCAGCCAGAAAACAUCCAGCUCUGUCGAUCAGUCUGAAGCCUCCACGUCUGCAGACGGUUGAUCCAA